rnacentral:rRNA from 1 species
GAUGAACGCUGGCGGCGUGCUUAACACAUGCAAGUCGAGCGAAGCACUUUACUUAGAUUUCUUCGGGAUGAAGAGUUUUGUGACUGAGCGGCGGACGGGUGAGUAACGCGUGGGUAACCUGCCUCAUACAGGGGGAUAACAGUUAGAAACGACUGCUAAUACCGCAUAAGACCACAGCACCGCAUGGUGCAGGGGUAAAAACUCCGGUGGUAUGAGAUGGACCCGAGUCUGAUUAGCUGGUUGGUGGGGUAACGGACUACCAAGGCAACGAUCAGUAGCCGGCCUGAGAGGGCGACCGGCCACAUUGGGACUGAGACACGGCCCAAACUCCUACGGGAGGCAGCAGUGGGGAAUAUUGCACAAUGGGGGAAACCCUGAUGCAGCGACGCCGCGUGAAGGAAGAAGUAUUUCGGUAUGUAAACUUCUAUCAGCAGGGAAGAAAAUGACGGUACCUGACUAAGAAGCCCCGGCUAACUACGUGCCAGCAGCCGCCGUAA